rnacentral:rRNA from 1 species
UACAGAGGGUGCGAGCGUUGUCCGGAAUCACUGGGCGUAAAGGGCGCGUAGGUGGCGACCCAAGUCGAUGGUGAAAGCUCGCCGCUCAACGGCGAGUCGGCCACCGAUACUGGGUUGCUGGAGCACUGUAGAGGCAGAUGGAAUUCCGGGUGUAGCGGUGGAAUGCGUAGAGAGUCCGGAAGAACACCGGUGGCGAAGGCGGUCUGCUGGGCAGUUGCUGGACACUG